GAUGAACGCUGGCGGCGGGCCUAAUACAUGCAAGUCGAGCGAACAGACGAGGAGCGUGCGCCUCUGACGGUAGCGGCGGACGGGCGAGUGAGAAGUGGAUAAGAUACUAAUAAGACUGGGGGAAGAUCGGGAAAACGGAGCCAAUACUGGAGAAUAUGAUGUACCGGAGGGAUCAGGAGAGAAAGGGGGUUUGGGCGACAGAAUGAGCCGGUGCCGGAUUAGCUAGUUGGGGGGGUAACGGCACACCAAGGCAACGAUGCGUAGCCGACCUGAGAGGAUGAUCAGCCACACUGGAACUGAGACACGGUCCAGACUCCUACGGGAGGCAGCAGUAGGGAAUCUUCCGCAAUGGGCGAAAGCCUGACCCAGCCACGCCGCGUGGGUGAUGAAGGUCUUCGGAUCGUAAAGCUCUUUUGUUGGGGAAGAACAACUGCGUAUUUAACCCCGCCCGUCCUGACGGUACCCAAUCAGUAAGCCCCGGCUAACUUCGUG
rnacentral:rRNA from 1 species